rnacentral:rRNA from 1 species
UACGGAGGGUGCAAGCGUUGUCCGGAAUCAUUGGGCGUAAAGAGUUCGUAGGUGGUUUGUUAAGUCUGGUGUUAAAGCCCGAAGCUCAACUUCGGUUCGGCAUCGGAUACUGGCAGACUAGAAUGCGGUAGAGGUAAAGGGAAUUCCUGGUGUAGCGGUGAAAUGCGUAGAUAUCAGGAGGAACAUCGGUGGCGUAAGCGCUUUACUGGGCCGUAAUUGACACUGAGGAACGAAAGCCGGGGUAGCAAAUGGG